GACGAACUUUGGCGGCGUGCUUAACACAUGCAAGUCGAACGGAAAGGCCCUGCUUUUGUGGGGUGCUCGAGUGGCGAACGGGUGAGUAACACGUGAGUAACCUGCCCUUGACUUUGGGAUAACUUCAGGAAACUGGGGCUAAUACCGGAUAGGAGCUCCUGCUGCAUGGUGGGGGUUGGAAAGUUUCGGCGGUUGGGGAUGGACUCGCGGCUUAUCAGCUUGUUGGUGGGGUAGUGGCUUACCAAGGCUUUGACGGGUAGCCGGCCUGAGAGGGUGACCGGCCACAUUGGGACUGAGAUACGGCCCAGACUCCUACGGGAGGCAGCAGUGGGGAAUAUUGCACGAUGGGCGGAAGCCUGAUGCAGCAACGCCGCGUGCGGGAUGACGGCCUUCGGGUUGUAAACCGCUUUCGCCUGUGACGAAGCGUGAGUGACGGUAAUGGGUAAAGAAGCACCGGCUAACUACGUGCCAGCAGCCGCGGUGAUACGUAGGGUGCGAGCGUUGUCCGGAUUUAUUGGGCGUAAAGGGCUCGUAGGUGGUUGAUCGCGUCGGAAGUGUAAUCUUGGGGCUUAACCCUGAGCGUGCUUUCGAUACGGGUUGACUUGAGGAAGGUAGGGGAGAAUGGAAUUCCUGGUGGAGCGGUGGAAUGCGCAGAUAUCAGGAGGAACACCAGUGGCGAAGGCGGUUCUCUGGGCCUUUCCUGACGCUGAGGAGCGAAAGCGUGGGGAGCGAACAGGCUUAGAUACCCUGGUAGUCCACGCUGUAAACGGUGGGUACUAGGUGUGGGGUCCAUUCCACGGGUUCCGUGCCGUAGCUAACGCUUUAAGUACCCCGCCUGGGGAGUACGGCCGCAAGGCUAAAACUCAAAGGAAUUGACGGGGCCCCGCACAAGCGGCGGAGCAUGCGGAUUAAUUCGAUGCAACGCGUAGAACCUUACCUGGGUUUGACAUGGAUCGGGAGUGCUCAGAGAUGGGUGUGCCUCUUUUGGGGUCGGUUCACAGGUGGUGCAUGCCUGUCGUCAGCUCGUGUCGUGAGAUGUUGGGUUAAGUCCCGCAACGAGCGCAACCCUUGUUCACUGUUGCCAGCACGUUAUGGUGGGGACUCAGUGGAGACCGCCGGGGUCAACUCGGAGGAAGGUGGGGAUGACGUCAAGUCCUCAUGCCCCUUAUGUCCAGGGCUUCACGCAUGCUACAAUGGCUGGUACAGAGAGUGGCGAGCCUGUGAGGGUGAGCGAAUCUCGGAAAGCCGGUCUCAGUUCGGAUUGGGGUCUGCAACUCGACCUCAUGAAGUCGGAGUCGCUAGUAAUCGCAGAUCAGCAACGCUGCGGUGAAUACGUUCCCGGGGCU
rnacentral:rRNA from 1 species